rnacentral:rRNA from 1 species
GGAGGAUCCAAGCGUUAUCCGGAUUUAUUGGGUUUAAAGGGUGCGUAGGCGGCCUAUUAAGUCAGGGGUGAAAGACGGUAGCUUAACUAUCGCAGUGCCUUUGAUACUGAUGGGCUUGAAUGUACUUGAGGUAGGCGGAAUGUGACAAGUAGCGGUGAAAUGCAUAGAUAUGUCACAGAACACCAAUUGCGAAGGCAGCUUACUAAAGUAUGAUUGACGCUGAGGCACGAAAGCGUGGGGAUCAAACAGGAUUAGAUACCCUGGUAGUCCACGCCCUAAACGAUGAAUACUCGAUGUUGGCGAUAUACAGUCAGCGUCAAAGCGAAAGCGUUAAGUAUUCCACCUGGGGAGUACGCCCGCAAGGGUG